CUCAAUAUAAGCAAACUGGAGAUUGCAACGUCCUCAGCAAAGCGCCUGACUCACAUGGAGGAGUUUUUCCACACAAAAAGUAAUGGUUUCAUGCCCCAGGAUGUGAAAUGUGGACAGAAAAAUUUUAUCCAGAAGGUCAACAACUUUUAACUUUCAGCAGUUCACAUUCAAGCCGCUUUCCCAGGAAGUUCAGCUCCUGCCGCGCCAGGGCGGCUGCGGCCUUCGCAGCACCAGGGUUUGGCUCUGCACGACGGGGGCUGCCGCGGCUGCCUCUGCCUGGAGCCCAGCCUCGCCCCCAUCAUCGUCACCGGGGGUUGCGAAGCCUGGUGGAUGGCACGUCCGCGGGCCCCGCUGGGCGCAGGGUCGCGUUCCACCCGCUGACAGCCCUUCGCCCCGUGACCUGCAACCCUGGACACACAAAAUAUGUGCUCUAGCUGGGUUACUGGCGCUUGCUUUCACCUCUGCAGCCCCUCACCUGGCAGCCGGAGCGUGUAAGGCGCACCCUGCACCCUCGCUGUAGCUGCAGAAGAUUUAUAAGAGCGGUACGUGACUGACAGAUAAGGGACUCCCACAGAGCGAAGACGAGAGCGAGGGAACCAGAAAGCUGUAUGUUUGGACUUGAUUCAAGGAAUUCGGAGCCCCUCUUGUUCAGGCAGGUUCGAAUAGAAAAUUUGCCAAAUCAACCUAACACCAUAAAAAUGUUUCUUGAGAAAAGGCUGGGGCAGAGCUGGGUUUUAAAAAAACCCCACUACCCAAAGCUCUGUGUCCCACCCUGGUAUUUAUGACAUGCACAUGGAUGCUGUUGAUAGCAGAGAUGUUUUUGUAAGUCAAUAAAACGGAAAAAGAUUCCA
rnacentral:lncRNA from 1 species